UCCUUGAUGGCCUAGUGGCCAAGGAGCCCACGCGCUUACCGCCAUGGCCCGGGUUCAAUUCCCGGGUAGGGAU